rnacentral:rRNA from 1 species
CAGUCGCCGCGGUAAAACGUAGGCAGCAAGCGUUGUUCGGAGUUACUGGGCGUAAAGGGUGUGUAGGCGGUUGUUUAAGUUUGGUGUGAAAUCUCCCGGCUUAACUGGGAGGGUGCGCCGAAUACUGAAUGACUAGAGUAUGGGAUGGGAGAGUAGAAUUCCUGGUGUAGCGGUGAAAUGCGUAGAUAUCAGGAGGAAUACCGGUGGUGUAGACGGCUCUCUGGACCAUUACUGACGCUGAGGCGCGAAAGCGUGGGGAGCAAACAGGAUUAGAUACCCGUGUAGUCCCUGUCUCUUAUAC